rnacentral:misc_RNA from 1 species
UCCGGUUUGUCACCGGCAGUCUCAUUAGAGUGCCCAACUAAAUGUAGCAACAUGGAACGAGGGUUGCGCUCGUUGCGGGACUUAACCCAACAUCUCACGACACGAGCUGACGACAGCCAUGCACCACCUGUGACCGCCCCCGAAGGACCUCACAUCUCUGCGACCGGUCCUGGACAUGUCAAGGGCUGGUAAGGUUCUUCGCGUUGCGUCGAAUUAAACCACAUGCUCCACCGCUUGUGCGGGCCCCCGUCAAUUCCUUUGAGUUUCAGCCUUGCGGCCGUACUCCCCAGGCGGGGCACUUAAUGCGUUAGCGCCGGCACUCAAGGGGUCGCUCCCCCAAGCACCUAGUGCCCAUCGUUUACGGCGUGGACUAC